UGGCUCGUUGGUCAAGUGGUUAAGACACUUCCCUUUCACGGCAGUAUCAUGGGUUCGAAUCCCGUACGGGCCAU
rnacentral:tRNA from 1 species